rnacentral:rRNA from 1 species
AUGAAAGAGUAUGCAGAUGCAACUAGAUUUCAUGGUCAGAAUGGAUGGACGAAAGAAGGAUGGAAUUCCAUGACUACACGAUUGAAUAAUCAGUUUCCAAGAGCUAAUUUCAUUGUUUGUCAACUAAAAUUUAUAGAGCAGCGGUUGAAGAGUGAAUAUUUUGUUGUCAAAUCUAUUGUAGAGAAGAGUGGCUUCGGUUUUGAUCCUAAUACAAAAAUGCCAACAACCAUUGAUGAAAAAUGGGAUGAAUUGAGCAAAGAACAACAGAAGUGGAGAUACAAAGCUUUCCUUUACUAUGAUGACCUGCAUGCAAUUUAUGAUGGUAAAACAGCGGAGGGGAAGGGUUGUAGGAGGACAAUUGAUGUGGUUGAAGAGAAGUCCAGUCCGGCUACAGAUUUACCACAAGGGGAAAGCUUCACACAACAAGUUCUAGAUGCCGCUGGGCUUAAUUCGCCUAGUCCAACAUUACCGGCUCCAGGCUUUGAAGGUCAUAAUUACGAUUGGACUGAAGGCAUAUAUGGUGAGAGUGUUGAAGUAUUUCCUGGUAACAACACAGAACAUAUGGAGAAUAACAGUAGCCAAAUUCCCACGGAACACAUGAACACACUUCCUGACCCACCACCUAUGAAAAAGGCUAGGACUUCUAAAGGCAAUGAUGAAGGUAAGGCUAAGAGAGGCAAAGAAACAGCGAUUGAAGAUCUGGUUGCUGUUAGAAAAGAAGAACUUAAAACUUAUGUGGAUGUAAAGACGAAACAAAUUGAGAGCUAUAGAGAAGUGAAAAUGGCACAGAUGGAAAAAAAUAAUCCUUAUUGCAUUGCCAAUUGCAUUGUCAAACUUAAGACCAUACCAGAUCUCUCAGCAAGUGAUCAUCUCAAGAUGAUCGAGUAUCUGAAAGGACAAAGAGUUGACCGUGAAAUCUUCAUGACAGUGGAGCAUGAUGUUGUUCUGGAGAUCCUCAAGCAAGUGCUUGGCCAUCAAAUUUAA